rnacentral:tRNA from 1 species
GGGCGGGUAGCUCAGUUGGGAGAGCAUCCCGUCUUUCAGGACGGGAGAGUCACAGGUUCAAGCCCUGUUCCGUUACC